rnacentral:rRNA from 1 species
GAUGAACGCUGGCGGCGUGCCUAAUACAUGCAAGUCGAGCGAACAGACGAGGAGCUUGCUCCUCUGACGUUAGCGGCGGACGGGUGAGUAACACGUGGAUAACCUACCUAUAAGACUGGGAUAACUUCGGGAAACCGGAGCUAAUACCGGAUAAUAUAUUGAACCGCAUGGUUCAAUAGUGAAAGACGGUUUUGCUGUCACUUAUAGAUGGAUCCGCGCCGCAUUAGCUAGUUGGUAAGGUAACGGCUUACCAAGGCGACGAUGCGUAGCCGACCUGAGAGGGUGAUCGGCCACACUGGAACUGAGCCCCGGUCCAGACUCCUACGGGAGGCAGCAGUAGGGAAUCUUCCGCAAUGGGCGAAAGCCUGACGGAGCAACGCCGCGUGAGUGAUGAAGGUCUUCGGGUCGUAAAACUCUGUUAUUAGGGAGGAACAAAUGUGUAAGUAACUAUGCACGUCUUGACGGUACCUAAUCAGAAAGCCACGGCUAACUACGU